UGGGGGCUGGAGAGAUGAUUUGAGCCAGGUGUGGGGGAUUUAAUUAAUUAAGUAGUUUGCUGUGUUUGGAGCUGGGGCUUGAGUGCAGCAGUCUGCAGGAGAGAAGUUCUCAAGCGUUUGUUGUUGAUUGCUGUGCAAAUAUUUUGCCAAGUCCACUUCUGGGUCUGCCGCUGAGCAUGCUGGAGAGCCCCCCGUGCUCCUGUGAGAUGCCCCAUCCACCCCACCAGCUCAACGCUCACGAGCUGUACCUGGGACCUCAAGGAUGCUGAUUCUACACAAGUGGCCUCCCUUUGGACAAUUCUAGAUUUAGGAGAUUAACAGAUCCCCAAAUACGUGGAAUUCAGUUCUCUUCCUCUUCCACUUCUUCCAGAAGACCACCUUCUUUUGAGUGUUGCUGCAGGAAAGCACAGAAAUAACAAGCAGCAAAAAGCACAAAUAACAGAGUCCAGAGCCGUGGAAGACAAGU